GCCGUGGGAAACGCUUUUGGAACAAGUUGGAUUGCUCCGAAUUUCAGUGCCUAUCGGGCAGCCAGUGAACAUUUGUCCAUCUUUAAGGCAUUAAACUGAGAAGAACCACUGAGGAAAGCAUGCCACAGUCUUUCCCAAAAUCCCUGUGUCUUAAGGAACAACCAAGAAGUUAACUGGUCAGGGAAAAGAUUUCUUUUGGAACACAGAGAAUGAUGGGAGUUGUGAUCCAUACCUCCGUGUGCAUAAUGGUUGUACCUGCUCCAGGAAGGCGCUGGAUCCUCCCAACUCCAUGGGAAGAGAUUAGGACACAAACAACAGACAGAAGGUGACCACAGGAGGACACAGUGAGAAGCUGGCCAUCUGCAAGCCAAGGAGAGAGACCUCAGGAGAAACCAAACCUGCCAGCACCUUAAUCUUAGACUUCUAGCCCUCAGAACGGUGAGGAAAUAAAUCUCUGUUGUUCAUGCCA
rnacentral:lncRNA from 1 species